GACGAACGCUGGCGGCGUGCUUAACACAUGCAAGUCGAACGGAAAGGCCCUGCUUUUGUGGGGUGCUCGAGUGGCGAACGGGUGAGUAACACGUGAGUAACCUGCCCUUGACUUUGGGAUAACUUCAGGAAACUGGGGCUAAUACCGGAUAGGAGCUCCUGCUGCAUGGUGGGGGUUGGAAAGUUUCGGCGGUUGGGGAUGGACUCGCGGCUUAUCAGCUUGUUGGUGGGGUAGUGGCUUACCAAGGCUUUGACGGGUAGCCGGCCUGAGAGGGUGACCGGCGACAUUGGGACGUGACUGCGGCCCAGAGUCCUACGGGAGGGAGCAGUGGGGAAUGUUGGACAAUGGGGGCAAACCUGAUCCAGUCGUACCGCGUGGGUGAAAGCGGCCUUCGGGUUGUAAAGCCCUUUUGUUGGGAGAGAAAAGCAGCAGGUUGAUACCCCGCUGUUCUGACGGUACUCAAAAAAUAAGCACCGGCUAACUUCGUG
rnacentral:rRNA from 1 species